rnacentral:tRNA from 1 species
GCUUUAAUUACUAUUAAUAAAGAUUUUGAUGAAGAUGUAAAAAAUGAAAAGUUUUUUUAGUAAUUCUGAAAAUUUCUAUC